GGCUGCGAUCUGGCUGCGAGUGUGUAGUUAUGUGUCUGGGAUGAUAUCUUGGGCCUUAUCUGUGAGUGGCCGAGAUGCGGGAGACCCAAGGCGGCCAUGGUGCUGGCCGCAGGCCGUCAAUUAUGCAAGAGCGCGGUGAAGGGUAGCGCGCCGGCCUACAUGUAAAGCCGAUAUGGUGUUGGGAGGCGCCACGCCAAGUUCGCCACCGCAGGGUCAGAUGGAAAUGCCGGAACCUGUUGAACAGUGGAAGAAGUGUUAAGGUACUGUAUUGGUUGAGAUCGUCUGGUCAGUCACCUCACAGGGAAUCUUUGCUUUUAAUUUUUGGAAGUUGAAUAUUUUCUAUUAAAUAAAAGAUGUUUUGUGUGUAAUAAGACUGUCCUAUUUCUGGAGGUUGUGUGACUUAAGAGUUAACGAUACAGGAAACAUUUGCACAGGAAAUAACUGAGCUAACCAGAAUUCCAAAGAUAGGAUAGUUAUGAUGGCUACAAAGGUGUAAUAGAUGUUAACUUGGAAUGCGAGUGAUUAACAAGCAGCCACAGAUGUUUGCCCUUCAUGAAGUGUCUCUUGCUGCUCUCCAAGCCUUGUAUGUGCCAUUCAACUUGGAAUCUCCAGAAGGAGAGAAUGUACCAACAGGGUGCAUUGUGACAGGUGCUGGAGGGUACUUGUAGCCAAUAGAUAUAGGCUUUGGUGUCUGGGAUUUGAGUUUGAGACUAGGGUAUGCCUUACCUCAGGGAAGCUUGGGAACCAAGGAGUAAUUGGAUUCCUCAGCAUAGAGAUUCUUGAGGACCAGAUUCCUACCAGAUGUCUCUUGGCUUUCAUUCCUAUUUAAAUAGGGCUGCUAUGGUUCCACAAGUGGUCAGUAAUUUGGCCACUUAACUGCUUGCCACUUAUUGUGUUGGGCUUGAGCACCUCUUUAAAACUAAAAUUGUCAGGUUAGUCUUAGAAGAUCUGAACUUAUUGGAAGGUGCCAGUAGAUGGUGUACUUUCACGGUUCAAAGGGCAGAAUUCGAGUUUGACAUCUGCCUGGUGUUAAUAGGGAAGUGAUUUUGAUAGUGAAGACUGGAUUCUUAGUCCUUGCUUAAUAGUAAUAAAGUACUUGCAAGUAAGUUGCUAUGUAAAGCAAGUAUCUUCAGCUUGCGAAGUUAUCCCUUCAGUCUUCAUUUAACAAGUACUAUUGAAAUAAGAUUAAAAAGACUCGAACUUAAAAUGAUGUCCCAGUCUUGGUGUGGGUAAGAUCAAAAAGUAGGUUAAAUGUGGGCACCUAAUCAAGGUUCCUAGUCCAAAUUUUAUGAAUUUGAAAAUUAAAACAUUUGCUAGGAUUUCACCUUACAUAAAAAUUGUAAUAGGGAGGAUGUGUACCCCAAACAACUGGGUUCUCAAAUUCAAAGGAAUCUCAGGCUUGUCACUUCUGGCAUGGUGCCAAGUACAGACUGAAUAGUUCCUGUUUCUUUACUGUUUCUUG